rnacentral:rRNA from 1 species
GAUGAACGCUGGCGGCGUGCCUAAUACAUGCAAGUCGAGCGAACAGACGAGGAGCUUGCUCCUCUGACGUUAGCGGCGGACGGGUGAGUAACACGUGGAUAACCUACCUAUAAGACUGGGAUAACUUCGGGAAACCGGAGCUAAUACCGGAUAAUAUAUUGAACCGCAUGGUUCAAUAGUGAGAGACGGUUUUGCUGUCACUUAUAGAUGGAUCCGCGCCGCAUUAGCUAGUUGGUAAGGUAACGGCUUACCAAGGCAACGAUGCGUAGCCGACCUGAGAGGGUGAUCGGCCACACUGGAACUGAGACACGGUCCAGACUCCUACGGGAGGCAGCAGUAGGGAAUCUUCCGCAAAGGGCGAAAGCUUGACGGAGCAACGCCGCGUGAGUGAUGAAGGUCUUCGGAUCGUAAAACUCUGUUAUUAGGGAAGAACAAAUGUGUAAGUAACUAUGCACGUCUUGACGGUACCUAAUCAGAAAGCCACGGCUAACUACGUG